UAGGGAAUCUUCCGCAAUGGACGCAAGUCUGACGGAGCAACGCCGCGUGAGUGAAGAAGGAUUUCGGUUCGUAAAACUCUGUUGUUAGAGAAGAACAGCGUAUAGAGUAACUGUUAUGCGUGUGACGGUAUCUAACCAGAAAGCCACGGCUAACUACGUGCCAGCAGCCGCGGUAAUACGUAGGUGGCAAGCGUUGUCCGGAUUUAUUGGGCGUAAAGCGAGCGCAGGCGGUCAAUUAAGUCUGAUGUGAAAGCCCCCGGCUCAACCGGGGAGGGUCAUUGGAAACUGGUUGACUUGAGUGCAGAAGAGGAGAGUGGAAUUCCAUGUGUAGCGGUGAAAUGCGUAGAUAUAUGGAGGAACACCAGUGGCGAAGGCGACUCUCUGGUCUGUAACUGACGCUGAGGCUCGAAAGCGUGGGGAGCGAACAGG
rnacentral:rRNA from 1 species